CUAGUUAGUCUAUAUCCUCUCCUUUAUAAGAACCUCCACAUUUCAUAAUUAUUCUCACACAUCCUAAACAAAGCAUUCUCUCAAUCUCUAAAUUUCCUCAUUUUUCUACAAACAAUGGAGAACAAGGGUAUGAGCACCUCCAUAAUGAAGAUAUCACUUACAUUAUUCCUAGUAAGCAUGGCCAUUUUGGCACCAUCAGCCACGGCUCGGAUGGAGGCAGCAGCACCUAGUCCAUUAGCACUAGAAGAUCUAUCUUUCUCUAACUGCACACCAUUUAUUUUAGAGGCAACAAUGUGUGUAGUAGGCGUGAUAAAAUUCCCGGUUGCUCCUCAUCCUUCGUGUUGCAAAGCUAUUUCUGAUCUCGACGAUUGUUCUCCGGAAACUUACCAACAUAUUCCUGGCAUGGACAUUAUUAAAAAAAUUUGUAGUCUGUCAAGCACUUUCUGUCUUGACAAUCAAAAGGUUCUUCAAGCAAAUUGAACCAUUUUGAAUAAGAAAGUUAUGUUUAUGUGAUUGUGAGUUUUCUUUUUUCCUACAGUACUAUUGCAGUACCAUCUAUAAAACUUAAUAAAACAUACAUCUUUAACAAGAUUUAGAGUGUACUUGAAAAUCUCUGCAUAAUCAACAACACUAAAAUCUUCAUAGCCAAUUUAGUUUUAGUACAUACACAAAAGAUUUAAGAAACGGAAUUAUAGUCUAUGCAUAACAAUCUAAACUUUCUUACAAGUUUCCAGAUUUCAAGAUUUUCUGUUUUCUAGCAAUAGAGAAAAAAAAGAGUCAAACCAUUUGUUUUCAGGAUUUGUAGAGCAUCAAACAACAAAAGACAUUAAACAUAAUCAAAUAACUCCCAACUAGGUUAGUAAAUUAGCUAUAGAAAAGCAACAUAGAUUCUUAUCAUCUCAAAAAUCUUCAUAAAACAUACAUCUUCAACAACAGAUCUACAAAUACUAUAUCAAAACCACACAAAAUACAACAACAGUAACCAAAGUCUUCAGAUCUAAAAUUUUACCAAGUCUUUCAAAAGUCAACACUUCCAUAAAGCAAGCGAAUCACAUAAAGAAUCACAAAUGAAGAUCAAAACCGAAUAAACCUGAUUAUCUUUCUCUCAUGUGGACACGUGUGUAAGUUUCCACAAGAAUAUUUCCCUUCCACACAAACAAAAGUAAAAUCAUAUUUUACUCAAAUCAUCAGUUACAUAGUUAUGAGCGUAUAGAAAGGAUAAACCAACUUCGUCUUGAGGUAAGAUAAAUGUGUGAAUAACAUACCUGGCCUAGGAGGAUAUCAUACAUGAUGAAAAAAGAAGUUAACAAAGGCAAUUUUAGAGAAAGGAGGAAAACAUACAUGAUGACAAGAAAAUUUAGGUUUAAGAUAGUUAUGAGGGUAUAGAAAAGAUAAACCAUCGUCGUCUUGUGGUAUAAUUAGUUUUAUGUUGCACCACAUGAAAAAAGAAGUUGACAAACGCAAUAUUGCUAUAAUAGAGAGAUUAUAACAAUAUUAAUAUUAGAGAGAUAUAUCUAAUAUAAGUAAGCAUAAAUAGCAACAUAAUUUAUAUAAUUCAACAACCCUUGAUAAAGGAGGAAAACAUCAAACCUAUGUCUAUACAAAUGAAAACCAAUAUAUAUGUACUUAGAACCGAAGAAAUAUAAAAACAAUUAGAGAGAUCUCACACUUACUUGAAAAAAUUUCGUCAACUCACAUUUUCAUGUUAACAUGGUUCUCAACCUAGCUCAAAGUGUUUGUAUGAGUUUGAUAUCAAACCAAGGCAACAAAUAUAACCGUUCUAAAUACAAGAACUUUAAGUACAACACAUAAUAUUUUUAAAAAAGAGCUAAAGGUAAUUCACAUCAUAAAGUAACCUUGUUUCUUUGCUUCUCAACCUAGCUCAAAGUGUUUGUAUAAGUUUGAUAUCAAACCAAGGCAGCAAAUAUAAAUGUUCUAAAUGCAAGAACUUUAAAUACAACACAUAAUAUUUUAAAAAAUAGCUAGUAGAUUAGUUUCAGUUGAAAACAAAAGGUGGAUUUUAGUUUAGAAUUACGUGAGAAUUAGUGUUGAAAAAGAUUGUUGUACUACCUUAUUAGUAGAUGAGUAACACCUUGAAAAUGCAUCAAGAAUCUACAAAAUUAUUUAACAUUAGUAGUUAAGAUGCAGAAAAUAUUAUGAAAUAUAAUGUUGGGAAAUAUUGUGACUUUUAAAAGAACUAGACAUUUUUAAACAAAAGAGAGAGCUCAUAUAUAUUUUCUUUAUAAUUUAGCCAUAAGGUAUAGAAUGAAAAGUAUUUUAUAACUAGCUGAGAUGAGACACCAAAUUCAUUUUGCUUUGGUUCAUAUUAAUCACAUCAUAGCUACCAUUUACAACAUUUCUAUCUUCACCAAACUCAAUUCUCCCUCUUAAACCAUUGAAACACUUUACCCAAUUGAAUUCUAAGUAAAUCUCACUCUCUAUCGAACACUUUAACUUUGCUAAAUUGAAUUCCACUUUCAUUAUAACCAAACACUUUACAAGCAACAAUAAAGACUACAACAAGGAAAGAAAGCGAAGAAAAAAGGAAAAAAAAACUUGAACAAACCUAGCCGACGGAAAAGAGGGCUUUUCCGUGGUCAUAGGUCGUCGGUCGAAUUAGUCGUGGGUUGUCGUUGAUGUGUGAUCGACCGGUGGAGGGGGAAAGAUUGGAUUGGGUUUUUGGAAAGGGUUUUCGUGAAGAUGGUAAAGAGAAGGGAUAAAUAAAAAGGAAGAUAUAGUUAAUAAAUUCUUUAAUGAAAAGUUGAAGGAAAUUGGAAAAUUUGAAAAACAUUUAAGUUUGUUGCUAAAAUUAUUUAAUUUUUAGUGACAUUAUUGUCGUGUGUUACUAAUUCUCUUAGUGACGUGGAUUAAAAAUGUGCCGUUAAUAAUAAUCUUUUGUGACAAAUUUUUUUGCGUCACUGUAUACGAAUUUUUACCGCAAAAAUUACUUGCACCACUAAAACUUUGUCACUGAAAAAUAAAUUUCUUGUAGUGAAACACCGACAUUGUUUUUUUAAAUAAGUUACUAUGGACCGUUUGGUGCACCUAAAUCUUCACUAGGUGGACACCUCCCACUCUUGUCAAUUAUUAAGUAGUUUAUAAUGAUUACCAUCAUAAUUGUCAUGUGAUUACCUUAAAUUUUUUGUCAAGUGGUAAAUAUUUUUUUACUACAUUAUGAUGAUUAUCAUUUAUGUAGCUUACAAUUUUUUUUCGCCAAUUACUAAUAGUUUCUAAUUACCAUCCAUUCUUGUAAUCUACAUAACACAUUGUCGAUCAUCCCAUUGCCACUAUGAAAAAUGACCAUAGUAACCUUAAUCACAGCAAUAAAAUACUGAGAUAGCUAUUUGACUACUGUUUGAUUGUCUUUUGGAUACUUUCUAAUUGACAUUUUAUUACUCUUUUUUAUCAUUGUAAUUUUUUAUAUUGUUUGAUUACCUUCUAAUUGUCACUUCCAUAGUUUUUUUUACACAUUUGAUUGCUUUUUUGUUCAUAAUAAUUUUUUUGUCGUAGUAAUAAAAUAUUAAUUAGAUACCAAUCACACAGUAAACAUAAAUUACUAAAUAUCUAAUAAAAUCUCACAUAAAAAAUAUUAUUCUUUUACUUUGGUAGUAUAUUACAUUCUAAAUUUUAUGUUUUUAUUUUACUGAUUUUUGUAACAACUAGCUAACUUAAAAGUAUUGAAAUUAAUGAAAGUAUGUUUUACAAUUUAAUCACAAAUAUUAUAGAUAUCGUAAACUUUGCUAUUCCAAUUAAAAGUAAAAGCAAAAAAAAAAAAGAAAAAUGGAAGAAGAGAAUUUUUAAUAAUGGAUUCAACAAAGAAAGAUUGUUCCAAACAUAAAUCACUCCCCAUUCUAAACUUAUAAAUAGAAAACAAAACAACGAUCCAUCACUACUAACAACAUUAUUCUUAGUCAUCAAAUCGCCAAUAAACCCUAAGAGAAACUUUUACUACUCUAAGCACAUAAAACAUCUCACAAUGCACAAAUGUUCUUAACCACAUCCAUGUCUGCAGAAGGAAUCGUUUGGAAAACUACAGGAGCACAGUCAUUGAGCUUAAAAAUGGCUUUGCAACAAAAAGGAUGAGGAGCAAUUGGAAACUUGAAUACAUCGACCAAACACAGUGUCGCAUCCAAAAUAAACGGAGUACAACUGAAGAAGGAGAGAUCUUGCGAGAUUGAUGGAUCAAGUGUUGUAGACGACACCACCGUGCGGCCGGCCGUCGCGGAUGCUGCUAAAAUGGCUAUGGAGACAAUGAAUACUAAGGCUAACUUCAUUGGGGAUGCUUUCAGUGACUUCACUGCCAUUGUUUAGUUUAGAUGAGUUGUUGUUGAGGUCAAGAGAAGGGGAAAAGGCUCUACUUUGUUUGGGUGAGUAAGUUUGUGAUUAGUGAAGGUUCUUAUAUUGAGGUAGAUAUGGACUUCCUAUUUAUGGCAAUAGACAAAAUUAUGGGAAUUGUUUUUUCUCUUCAUAUGUUAAUAAUUAUAUAUAUAAUUUUAAUUCUAAUGUGUAAUGAUUAUUGUAUGCAAUAAAAGGAAAGUAACAUUUAUUUUUUUAUUUAGUACAAGAAAUGUAACUGUUAAAUUCUAUUUGGAUUAUUGUAUGCAAUAAUAUGAUGUUUUAUAUAACUCGAAAAUAUAUUAUGGGACUCAUUCAUUUAUUUUAGGGCCAAACAAUAUUCCUUUGCUAUCUAAUUUUAAGCUAAGGUUGGUUUAGGUUUAAAAACUUACUCUCAUAAUUACUUUGAUUUUGAUGACUUUUAAUUUCUACUAUGUGCUCCUCGGUAUUCAAUGUAUUGCACUGAUUUUGCUCCUUGAUUUUGGAGUUUUGAUUUCAUUAUAUCUAUUUACAUUUUCUAUUUAUUAUAUUUCAAUAAAUAUUAGGGAUCGAUUUUAGCCUAUUCAAAAUAAGAAGAGAUUCACAGUUGGUGAUGGUUUGAGAAAAUCCAAACUAACAACGUUAAUUUUUUUUAAAAAAAUCGAAAGCUUAAACGGACCUAAAUUAUUGAUCCAUCAACAAGGAGUAGUCUGUUUAUAUUUUUUUCAUAGUUGAGGUCGGUUUGAAGAUGUACUAAACUGACCAAGUUGGUUGACAGUAAUUUUGUCAAAAAAUCGACUCUAAAUGACUGAUUCUCACGACUUGUUUUCAUUGACUUUCAUCAACUAUUAAAAUUAUUUAAAAAAUUUACAUCCUAAUAUAUUACGUUAAUGUUGAAUACUAGAGGGAAAAAAGUAAAAUAUGGAGGAACCAAAUCAAAAUUAAAAAAUGAUGGUAAAAAUUUGAUAAUAUUUUAAUUUAUUUUGUUAUUUUUAAAGAUGCCUUUAUGUAUUUAUUUAGUUAGUAUUAAAUCAAUAAUUAGUUCAUUAAAAUAAAGACAAUUUUUUAAUAUUGUAAUUUAUUGAUAUUCUAAUUUCAAAUAUUAAGUAUCCAAGAAAAUAACAUAUAAUUAUAUAAACACAUGGUUACGUUUUUCUCUAAUGAACCUAAUACGUCUGAAUCCAAAAUACAUAUAAUUUUCUAAUAUGAAGUUAGAAUGUUAGAUGCACCGCCAUUUUGCCACGAACCCUUUGUGUAAUUGACAUAAAAACACAUGGUAGAUCAUAGUGCAAUUACUACUCAAAGAAUUUUAGUCAGAUUUAUAUGUAAAACUAACUGAGGUGUUCAUGUUGGGACAAAUUAACCAAAUAUAUUAAUAAAAAUAAAAGUAAUAAGACUACAAAAACUUACAACAAUACACUAUGAUCGCCUAUACUUAUUCCACGUUGAACCCAAAUUUUAGUAACUCCAAAGUUCAAAGUUAAUAUAAAAGAAUUACAGUUUUCAAUGGCUACCAAACGUUUCCAAACUUUUUAUAUGUGACCAUCUAUAUAUAUCCAACCUCUACUCCCUAGUUUUCUCCCACAAACCAAAUAGAGCUAUUCCUUUUGAGUGUAAGAAUCUCAUUCAAUCCUUCCAUUGACUUUCGAGAGGGAGUUCGAAAAAUAAAUACAGUUCAAUUCAUCAUGAAUUAAAUGGAUAGAACUAUUUAGUUAAGGUUCAAAAUUACUAAUUUAUAUGAACUAAAUGGGUAGAAGUCUAUUUCCGAUUAAGAUUUAAUAAGAACCCUAAAUAGUUUAUUAUAAGGAGCGGCCAUGGCUUUGUGAGCGAGAAGCGUAAAAUUAGGGUGACGUCACUACAAGAAAAAGUACAUAUUAUGACAGUUGUAUAUUGCGGGAAAAUACAGAAUUUUUCGAAUUCUACUUUCCGCGAUAGUUAUUUGUUGUCACGAAAGGUAUAUAAAAUAUAAUUUAUUUAUUUAUUAAAAUAAAAUUCAUUUUAAAUAAAAUAUUAAAUCACAAUUUCCCCCAAUUCUUAAACCCUCGCGCAAACUUCACCCUCACCCUUCGCUCACGAUUUGACAUCCAUCCUCAAUCCGACCACCACGUCCCAUAUCCGAACAUCGUCGACCAUCUCCAACAGACACAUAAUGGGAGUCAACAAAUCAAGAGCUUAGAGAUUCAAGAGAUUAAGCUUUUACAGCUUCCUUCUGUUUGUCACUUGAAAAGCUUUAGUGCUAUUGUCCAAGUAAUUUCUCUUCCAAUCCUCUCUUUUUCUUUCUUUUUUUUCUUAAAUUUAAUUUAUAUUUGCUAAGUUGCUUGAUUAUUUAGCAGCUAUUUUGUUUUUGGUGUUUGGUUCGUUAAAAGUAAGGUUACUUUUUUUUGAAUCAUGAUUUGAAAUUCAAUUUCAAGUAUAAAAGUUCCUUUUUUGGUCAAACUUCAUUAAAGAAAGAAUAAAAUUUGAAUAACUAUUUUUUCUUCCAUAUUUUGGUUUGGUUUUUAUGAAAGAGAUUUAGGAGUUUUGGCUUAGUUUUUGAACAUGAAUAAAAAGUAGAAGAGAUUUAGGAGUCUAUAUUCAUGAGUUUAAUUUUAAAGAAACUGUAAAUAAAUUUCAACUAGUACCAAAAUAUCUGUAAUUAAUAGUGCAGCAAAUCCAGGAAGCUGAAGAUGAAACAUAGUAGAACUUAGGUAACUGACAGUGGAUGAAAUUCUUUUGCAGUGGAAAGCAAAUGAACUAACCCCACUUGCUCUUAUGAAAUCUAUACAUAGGGAGGGAAGGGGAGGGGUGUUGCUUUUUUUCUCUUUUUUUCUUUUUUUUGUUGGGUGUAACAGAAAAAUGGUCAUAUAACCCUUAAGUGGACUAUUGUCUUAAGUCCACGUGAAAGAGGAGGUUAGGUAUCAACAACAUUUAGAAUACAAAUUUCAUCCUACUUUGCAAAUGGUUAUGGAGAUUCCAAUCGGAGCCAAACGCCCUCGGGAGAAAAAUUGUUCCAAGCUAAUUAGAAGUGUAGUACCAUAGCAACUAUAUUGGCUCUACACCUAUUGAUAGUAGAAAAUGUAGUGCAAAAGCUCCCUGAAAAGCUAUUGUUAACUGUUUGAGCUGGUUUGAAAAUCACUACAAUUGGAAAAUCAACAAUAUAUGGCGAACUUAUUUCCUUUUAACCCUAUGUUUGCUAAAUUCCCUCGGCACUUUGCUCUUUGUCAAUCCAAAAAUGAUUCAAUCAAAGAUCUAUGGGACUGCUCAAUCAAUCAGUGGCAGCUUUUUAAAUCCCAGAAGGCCUUUCAAUGCCACAGAACUACAAUCAUGGAAUGAGAUUAAGAACAUUCUUCCAACCCCUCGUCAGGACGAAGGUAGUAGGAAACCAAUUUGGAAUUUGAGUAAAGAUAAUUUGUUCUCAAUCACCUAUGUCAAGGAAGCUUUAGAGUCGAAUGCUCACUCUUUUUCCAUGGACUUCCAUCGACAUCACUGCUCAAACCUUUGUCAUUUCCAAGAAAUGCAAAUUUUUCAGUUGGUGUAUCAUCCAUGGGGAAUUAACACCAUGAAGAUUUUGCAAAAGAGAAAUCCAAAUUCUUACCUAAAUCCCUACUGGUGCACACUCUGUCAGUCUAAUAGUGAGGGGAUCGAUCACCUGUUUGUUAACUACAGGACCAUAGCUUCCCUUUGGUCUCUCCCCUUGUUUCCUCUAAAAAAGGACUUUGGCUCAUAUUUUUUAAUAUUUAAUUUCUGUAUAUUCCUUUACAAACUUUAAAAUUACAUUUUAAUAUUGUUUCAACUUCAAACUAAUUCGAAUUUAGGAUUAUUGUUGUGGGUUUUAUAAUAAUUGGUAUUAGUUUAGUUUCUAAUCAAAAAAUCAGUUUUAAAGUAAAAUAUUGUUGGAUAAAUUUUAAUUUCAAUUUGAAACUUUUACAUUAUGCUUAUCACUUUAAUUAUUUACGUACUGAUAAUUCAUUUAUUCAUUUAUAAUUUCUUCCAUUCAUGAAUCUGAAAGUUGUUGUAUAGAUUAUAAUAAAUUCAUUAAUAAUUUGAUUUAUUAACGUAAUAAUUCGAGUUCAAAAUGAAUAACAAAUCAAUAUCACAUUUAAAUGAGAUAGAUUUUAAAAACAUGAAAGUAUUAUUAAGAAAUACUUAAAAAAAUUGGAAGUUAAUAUAUAUAUCAAUAAGGAUGCACCUUCACACCCGAAGAAUUCUAUGUUUGGAUUAAAUAAGGAUGGUAGUCUUUUGUAAAUUUAUUUGAAAUUUUAUAUAACUAGAAGUUGAUAAAAAAAUUGAGAAAUUGUGUAAAAAAUUGAUUUAAGAUUUAGAAAAAGAGUGUGAUUUUAAUUAUUUCAAAAUGUUUUGAAUGAACAAACAUGGGAGUUUAUAUAUAUACAUAACAUAUUGCAGAGAGAACAAAGAAUAUUGAACGAAAAUGGUAAUUCUCAUUUAAUUUAACAGGAUAAGAACAAAGAGUUUGGUCCAGCAAAAUCUACUCCCCUCCUCUCAAAUUUUAUAAGAACAUAGUACUGUAGAAAAACAACAGAAGAAAACAAACUUAUUCUCACAUAUAACAUUCUUAUUCAUCAUGUUCUAAUUGGAAGUUCAAAUCUUCUUACAGACCACAAAUCUUCUUAAUCAUAUCCAUGUCAGAAGAAGGAAUCUUUUGAUAAAUUUCGGGGGCACAGUCGUUAAGCUUAGAAAUGGCUUUGCAACAAGAAGGGUGAGGUGCAAUUGGAAACUUGAUAACGUCUGCCACACACAACGUUGCUUCUAAAAUAAAAGGAGCACAUUUUAGAAAAGAAUUUUGUGGUUCUAAUAAUGGACUAGGUGCCGCAGUUGUCGUGUCGGCCAUCGUCGUGGAUGGAGCUAAAAUGGCCAUGCAGACCAGAAAUACAAGCACGAGCUUCAUUGGGGAUAUGUUAAAGCGACUUGGCUGCCAGUGUUUGUAGGAAAACAAGUGUGGAGGCCUACGGAAUCUUCAGUUUUGUUGGGGUGAGAAAGUUGUGUGAAUUAGGAGCUUCUUAUAUAGGGGAAAUAUGGAGUGGAGAUUUUGGCAUCUUUAUGCUCAUUGAUAUUACUACUGCUUUUGUUCAUGUAACUUUCUUGCUUAUGAACUUUAACACCGUUAUAACUCAAUUAUUGUUAAUACAUAUGACCUAAUUAGCUGUUAAAAAUGAGUGAUAGUUCCCUCUAUCAUUUUUUCUUUCAUUACCAUAAGAAGAAAACUAAGUCUUCAUUUUCAAAUUUUAUGCGUUUUUUGGUUUUACUCUCAUACCCUUAGGUAAAGAGAGAGAGUGAAAUAUAUGGAAGAAAACAGAAAGAAACAAAAGAAAAGGAACCAACUACCAACAAAAAUGCGAAUGGGCAAAUGAUAUUUAAUGGACUCCAAUUUUAUUUCUAUGUAUAUAGUGGAGAUACCAUAUUUCUAAAACUUCUUUCCUUUUAAUUGUUUUCUGUUUUUUUUUUAAAAAAAAAUUAAAUAAAGUGUUUGAUAAUCAACUUUUUUUUUUCUUUUCAUGGGAGAAACCUGUUUUUAAAAUUAAGUACCAAAAUUUAAAAUAACUAAAAAAAACUUUCAAAAAAUAUAUUAUAUUUAUUUUAGAAAAAAAAUACAAAAUUGGCUGCCAAAUAUAUAUGACUUUUGUUUUUAAUAAGCAAAAAUUUAAAAACAGAAAAAAGAAAGUUGAAAUAGUUACCAAACAAAACUUUCAUUUUCUCGUUUUUCAAAACAUUGGUAAAACGUAGAUAACAAUACAAAUGAGUUUGAAGAUUAAAAUGAUUAUUAUAGAGGCUUUAUUUCAAAUUACUUAGGUUUCUUUUGAUAACUGUUUGUUUUUCCUUUCCGUGCUUCAAAAUUAAAUUGAGCUUAUAAACAGUAUUCCACCGACCGAAAAACUAUGCAAAAUUUUAAAAAUUAUAAAAAGAAUAUAUAGUUUUAAGAUUUAGCUAAAAAUUCAACUAAAAACAUCAUAAUACAUUUAGAGUAAAUGUGUCCCAUUUUACAUGAUGUGGGGAUAGCUCAGUUGGGAGAGCGUCAGACUGAAGAUCUAAAGGUCACGUGUUCGAUCCACGUUCACCGCAUAUAUUUUAGGUUAUCUGUAUCCUAGCAGAUGUUUUUUUUUUUUUUUUUUUUUUUUCUACACAUACACCUUUCUCACUCUCAAUUACCAUGUGAUCCAUUUCAAUUAGUUGGAAGCUCUAGAAAUUGCUAUACCUAAUGUAAGGUCCCGAUCACAUACUUUGAAAUUGCUAUACCUAAUGUGACCCAACUGUCAGUAGGUUGACAAUUAUUGACCCAACUGUCCAAUUCAAGCUCAGGAUAAGGGAUUGAAAGAGGCACAUGGCGUGUUUUGAGAUUGGGUCACUCUUCGUUGCCAGUUAGAGAAAUCAUUUUAUCAUAGAAAAACUUGCCGGACGAAUCUAUAAUUAGAGGAAUUCGAGUCAUUUAGAGGUUGCUUUUACCCUUAUUUUGUUAAGAAAGGACUAGAGAGGUAUCCAAAAAUUCCGAGAAAUGUAAGGGAGACUUUGCAUGUCCUAGGAAGCUAGUUGUCUAUGACUGUGAGUUUGUUCUCCUUGGUAAAUGUUUCCAAGUGAAAAAGGGUUUUAAAAUGUGUUUAAAAUCCUGAAUAUAUUCUUUGAAACCAUAAACUACACAUGAUUUUCAUUAUGUUCUUUCAUCUCUAAAAUGUAAGCGAUUUAGAAUAAAGGGAAAAGAAGUAUUUUAUAAAUAACCUUCUAGCUAAAGGAAUACUGUGAAAGCAUCCUCUUUGAGUCAGAUGUUGUAUUACGAUUAAAUGCGUAGAAGUUAAUGUUGACGUCAUGUCUUGAAAUACUGAUUAUAUAAUGUUGUAUAAUGCACUUGUACCACAUGUAACAUGAGAUACCUUAUCCUUGUUGUGUGGCCUAGGAUAAGAUGUUUUAUUCUUGUUGUGUAAUACUACGAGAAAAGGGGGAUCUCCCAACGCAUAAAAGCGUCGGGAGAUAUACGAAAAAGCGUCGUAGAAAAAAAUAUUUCAAAGUAUAAAUGUGCGUCAGAUCGAAGUCGGGCAAAAUGAAGCACAAAUAACACUCACAUCAUAUUGUGCAAAAUAUUUCAAAGUAUAAAUGUGCAUCGGAUCGAAGUCGGGCAAAAUGAAGCACAAAUAACACUCACAUCAUAUUGGGCAUCAAGAGAUCCUCUAUUUUAGAAAAAAAAAUCUUCCAUUAUUAAAUGGAAGGUAUUAUGUAUCUAGCUUGAGAUUUCUCACGUUUCAAGAGUAACAAUGCAGAUUUUCGAUUUCCUCAUCCAAAUAAGAACAUAGAAUAUGCCAUUGAUGCUUUAUGAUAUAUGUCAUGGAUCUAAAGCACAAAUACGCCCAAUUCGGACAAAAUGGACUUCACAACCCACAGUUUGACCUCAUCAUCAUUGAUCUGAAGCACAAAUCAUUAACUCCAAAGUCAAAAUACAAAACAAUGGAUGAAGGAAAGUAAAUCUUACCAUUCAAAGCAUUCUUUCUCACCAUCCAAAAGAAUGGAUCUAAACGGAUCUACGAAAAUUCUACGAAUAUCCAAAAAAUUUCAAUGGUUGUUCUUCACUCUCUCGACCUCAGCUUAAUCUUAUGAAAAAAAACCCUAAUUUUGCCAAACCCUUAAAAUUUUUCAUUCAAAGAAGAAUUGUUGGAAAUCUAGAACAAGAAGGAUGAAACAAAUUUGCUAACCUUUUAACAUCAACGAGAGAAGUCUAUGAGAAUGUAGAAACUGAGUGAAGAAGAAAGUAUAAGAUGCCCUAUUCAAAUUGUGUGAUCUUGUUAGGAUGCCUCAUACUUACUGUGUGAUCUUGUAUGAGAUGCCCAUUUGCUUGUUGUGUAAUCUAACAUGGGAAGUCGUGUUAUGCGUAGAAAAAUUUAUGGUACUUACCAUUGCGUUGAGAUUUCUCUACAUGGCUACAACUUAGCAAAAGAGUGUGUGGUAAAUGCUUGAGUCGGGGAGAGGGUACACAGAAAUGAAAUAGAUAGUAUAAAAUGAAUCCACAAAAUAACUAAUUUACAUUUUGCUGUAUUACCUGUUCGACAAAUGAUUAUGUGAUGAGAAGGCAAUUGAUUUACGUAAAGCAAUUGUUAAAAGAUCACACUGACUAGAUGUUUUCGUCUCACCCUUCCAAUGUUUGUUUUACUCCACACCCCACCCCCUCCAAUGUAGCGAAGGAGAUCUGGCAUAAAACUUGAUGUCUUGAUCGUCUAUCAUGCCUCAUGAAUCACAUUGUCUUGGUGGUGGCCAUUGUGAUUUCAUGUAGCAUGUAGAAGCUAGGCAAAAAAAAAUCAAGUUAUUAUUUGAGUCUGUAUUUCUUUUAACGAUUUGUGCACUAGAAAUCGAAUGUACUCUCUUAACUUGUCUAUCAAUGAAGUUCUUUUUUUGUUUCAUUAAAGUACGAAUUUCGCGUUUAACUCUGUAUUGUAAGAAGUUGUUCUGCUUACUAGGUGUUCAACAUACUAUCUCGCAUGAGGUGCAUAUGCAUGUUGAAUUAGUAUUGGAUUAUUUUUUAGUAGCGAAACUUACAUGCAUUCUAAGCACGAAUGAUUGUAUUGCAUGCAUCGUUAGAGUUGUUCGGAACAAAAUUAGUUUUUUUCAAAAAAUUAAUUAUGUCACUGUAAGUAAAAAUGUUAGUCGCCAACAUGAGUUUAUCAGUUCAAUUAGUACCUUUAUGUACUUAGUAAGCUAAGUUAGAUGAUGGGAAAAAUAGCUCGCUUUUUUAGUAAGAGUUGAAUAAUUUUUAUUUGUUAAUUCGUUAGCAUUUUCUUAAAAGACGUUUGGUUACUACGACUUUUAUGAAAAUAACAACUUUUUCUUUGAACUUUAGUAGGUAGUGAUUUUAGUCCAUGUAUUUUUAAUUUUGUAACGAUUUAUUUUUCGAACUUUAGUAUAAGUAACAAUUAGUUAGUCCCUAUACUUUGAAAUUUUGUAAUAUAUAUUUUUUUAACAACAAGAUGAGGAUUGGGAUCAAGAGGAGCAUCCAAUAGUCUCGACAAUGUUGAAACAGUUGAGCACCUACCAAACCCAAACCCACAUAAAGAAAAAUCAUUGCCACAAAAAGGAAUUCAUACUAAUAAGUAGAGACUAGAGGAAAGUCUUCCAAGGAUAUAAAACAAUGAUCUUGAGAUAAACUAGCUAUUAUAAAUAAAGGGAAAUAAGUCGGUAAUGAACUAGCAAAACAUAAAAGUCAUAGUGCAAAGUCAAACUACUCCUAAUAAGCUUAUGGAAAGAAAUAUAUACAAGUAGACCAAUCAAACCAAAGACUUAAAAAACUAGCAUCCUCAUAUAUAAAAUUUAAAUGUAAGUUUCUAUUAUGUAACUGUUCACACGAGAUUUUGAAGAAAUGUAAUUCGUUGAAUUCGACUUUGAUAUAUUAAUGAAUAUUGUGAAGACAAUCUCUAAUAUUUACUCAUUUGAUGUUUUUCCUCGAAUACAAGUUAAAAACUUAAAACUUCUUGGUCUUCGAUCUACAGAAUAUUUUAGUUGCAAGUCGAUUUGAACUUCGAUCUUCUGAAAUCCAAGGAAAGCUUAAUCUUCUAAGUCUUCAAUCUUUCAAAAGUUGUUGAUCUUGAGGUUGAUACAAACUUGAACGUCUUGAGAGCUUGUACAAGUUUGCAUCUCCAAUUCUUCAGAGCUUCGAUUAUUCUUUCAACCACAGACCUCCUUAACGAGUGACAAAUGUCUCUAUUUAUAGAGAAAUUUUGUGGGCUUUAGGUGGGCUUGGGCUCAUUUGCUUGUUGGACUUGAGCUUGGGUCCAUUUUCUUGACGGGCUCGGGCCCACUUGUUUGGCCCGAUUUUUCAUCAGGGGCUUGCAUUGGGUUGGAUAUGAGAAAACUUGCCUACCCAAAAUUCAAUCAAAUUUUAAUCAUCAUAAUUUGUUGUGAUGACAUGGAAAAAUUUAAUUGGCCGAAUAUUCUUUUCAAAUGUAACUUCGCCUUUAUAAUUAUUAAAAAGAUUAUUCUCGACCAAUUUAUGAAAAAAAAUCAUGUAUUAGAAAGUUCAUUAUAUUUUAAUAAUAUUAAAAUUUAAAACUAAAUUGUUGCAAAUAUAAAAAUAUAUGCAUACUCAUGUUAUUUUCAUAUAAGUUAUAAAGUCAAAUUGUUGUUUUCAUGGAGAGUUAAGUUGUAGCAACAUGAAAGUUCAAGGAAAGGGUUUUUUUUAACAUUUUUUUUCUCCAUUGGCACUCAAAUUGAGACUUGAGAAUUAAAAAAUGAAAUUUACAUAAUUAACGAGACUCAAAACAUAACAUAAGUAAUAAACAUUUUAAUUUGUUUAAAAUAAUAAAAUAUUUAGAAUUGUUUUCAAAUAUAGCAAAACUUUUUAAAAUAUUUAUAAAUAUAACAAAAUUGUAGUUUUCAUCACUAAUAGAUCCAAAAUAAACAUUUAUCACUCUAAUGAUAAACACUAAUAAAUUCAACAUCUAUUAUACACAGAAAAAGUAAGAUGUUAUAUUUGUGAAUACAAGAGAAUUCAUCUUCAUCUUUCAUGUGUCGCAACCGAGAGAAUCAUCAUUUUAUCUUCUAUGUGUUGCAGUCGAUAGGCUUCUCCAUGUUCAAGUUUGGCGUGAUAUCCAUCAUAAAAUUCAAGUCAAACUAAUGAUAAAGUUGGGUGUACUUUUAUCUUCAAUCUUGGUCGAUGUGCUCUAUCUUCAAGCUUUACGCUUCAAAAAAGGAAAUAAGUUAUUGUUUAAAAAAGAAAAAGGUAAACUAAAAGAAAUGAAAAAUGAAAAAGAACCAAAAAAAAAAGAAAGGAGAAAAGAAACAUAAAAUGAAGGAAGAAGAGGAAAGAAGGAAGAAGGAAGAGGAAGAAAAAGAAAAAGGAAGAAGAAGAAAGAAGGGGAAGAAAAAAAAAGAAAAGAAAGAAAAGAAACGAAAAGAAAAAGAGAAGAAUGAAGACGUCUGAUCGCUCCUUCUAAGGAGGUGAAUCUGACGACAAAAGUCUGAUCGUCUCUUUGAAGAAAUUGGAUCGCUGACGGCAAAGAAAAUUCGAGAAGCUCGAUCGCUCCUACUAGGGAGGUGGAUUUGAAUCGUUCCCUAGAAGAAGUUGGAUCACUGAUGGCGAAGUAGAUCGAGAUGCCGGAUCGCUUCUAUUAGGGAGGUGGAUCUAACAGCAAAAGUCUGAUCUCGUCCCUUAAAAGAAGUUAGAUCGCUGACGAUGAAGUAGAACCGAAAUGCCCGAUCGUUCCUACUAGGGAGGUGGAUUUGAAGGCCAAAGCCCGAUCGUCCCCUGAAAUAAGUUGGGUCACUAACUACGAAGCAAAAUCGAGAAGUCUGAUCUUUCCUACUAGGGAGGUGGAUCUGAUGGAAGAAGCUCAAUCAUCCUUUAGAAGAAGUUGGAUCGUGGACGACAAAGUAGAAUCGAGAUGCCCGAUCGUUCCUACUAAGGAAGUAGAUCUGACGGCCAAAGCCCGAUUGUCCCCUACUAGGAGUUGGAUCGCUGACGACGAAGAAGAAUUGAAAAGCCCGAUUGUCUCCUAGUAGAAGUUGGAUCGCUGAUAGCAAAGAAUAAUCGGGAUGCCCGAUCGUUCUUACUAAGGAGGUGGAUCUGACGGCAAAUGUCCAAUUGUCCUCUAGUAGAAGUUGGAUUGUUGAUAAUAGAGUCAUAGUUCAAACGUUUGCAUACAAAAAGAAAGGGAAGAAGAAGUUCUUACUUUUAGCUCCUGUAAAAAAAAAAGGGAAGGAAAAAAAAAAAAAGAAAAAAAGAGAGAGAGAAAGGGAGAAGAUAAAUUUUGUUGCUGGAUAAAGAGUAAAUGAUUAAGGUGUGAGUCUAUUUAUAAGGUCAACAAAUCCAAUUCUUAAAAGAAUUAGGAAUGAUAUUUAAUCAUUUUUUUUAUAACGAAUCUAAUUAUAAAAGGAUUAGGAAUGAUAUUUAAUCUUUUUUUAAUAAUAAAGAAAAGAUGAUCCAAUUAUCUUAUCUUAUUUUAAUUAUUUUCAAUAUUUAAAAUAGAAAAGAUAAUCCAAUUACUUUAUCUUAUUUUAUUUUUAGGACAAAUUUUGAAUUUAAUUUGUGAGAUAAUUAAAAUAUUUAAAUAUCUCAACAUUUUAAAAAAAAAUUAUUACUAAUUUUAAAAUUAAAAUUUGGGUUCAAAAUCCAAAAAUUAGCUUGGAUAUAUGGUUUCUUUUUAAUCUCAAGUAUAUAUUGGAGCCAUAAAUCCAACUUUAUCUCAAGAUUUAGGGUCUCAUUUUUAUCUCAAAUUAAAAUUGGUAAUUCCAAAUUAUUGUGCAUCCUCGAGAUAAAUUAAGGUAUGGUAGAGACUUCAUCCUUAUUUCAAAUUAAAAUUUUGGUUAUGUUCAAAAUUUUAUUUUUAAAAAUAUUAAAUUUAAAUUUUUAUCCCCAAAUCAAAUUAAAUGGUAAAACUUUGAAAUUUUAUCAAAUUAAUUAAGGUUUUGUCAUAUUACAUCCCUUAUUUCAAAUUGAAAUCAAACUCAUGUGCUAAAUUCAUAGUUUGGUUAAUUUGAUAUGUUAAAUUGAGCAAAAAAAAAAAAAAAAGCUCGUAUUUUGACUUCAAAUUUUUUUUUCAAUAUUCAUUCACCCAUAUACGUGCAUAAAUCUCGAAAGGGGCAUUUAUUUUAUAGAAAAUUUUGAGAUGAAUCACAAAUUGCCACGUCAUUUACUAAAUUAAUAAUGAAAAGUGCAAAUAAUUGAAUAUGAGACUAAUUAAAAAAUUAAUAUGUGUCCCAAAUUAAAAUUGAAAACAUAAAUUAGCCAAUUCUGAUAAUGUCAUGUGUUUUCAUCAUAACCGUUGGAUCAAGUUAAUUAUUUUCGUUCAAUUAAAUAUUUUUUACUUAGGUUAAGUUCAAUUGAGCCAAAAAAUAAGCUUAAUUGAGUCCAAAUGUAAAUAUGACUCAAAUCCUUGGUAUGAUCUAUGGAGUAACUAGGCUCAAGCUCUUAAAACCUACUAGAUAACUCUAUAAAUAGAGGAGCUCUCUUCAUUUGUAAGUGUUGGAAAUUUUUUACUUCAAAAAGUCUAGAGAGAAUUCUCCCAAGAACUGGAAGACUCCCUAACUCCUAAAGUCGACCGCCCUCGAAGAUUGGAGAUCCUUUGAAGAUACAAGAUUUCUUCCAAGACUCCAACUUCUACAAGCUUUCUUCUAAGAUUCCAACUUCCCUCAAAUAUUUAAGCUUCUUUGAAGAUACAAACUUUCUUCCAAGACUCCAACUUCAAGAACAUCAUGUGCUCUGUUUCCUCUAAUCAAACGUAAGCAUCCAACAGAGAAAGAAUUAGAGGAUUAAAUUCUAGAGAUCAAACCACAUCACAUCAAAUCAACUUAAGUUCAAAUCCACGAAUCAAGUUUCUUCGAAAAUCUCGUGCAAACAGACAUUAUAUCAUUUUUCUACUCUCUUUCUCUAAAAUCUUUUCUUUGUUCGAUUCUUUUAAAUUAUACUUAAAAGAAAAUUAAUGUCCUAUAUUUAUUAAAUAGUUACAUAAUUAAAAAAUUAAGUCAAGAAAAGGAUAAGGUAAAGAUAACCAAUAACAACGUAUACAAGUUUUCUCGAUUAUAGACGAGAUGAUGUAAACCUAAGAGUUAAGUAAUUAUUAAAAGGAAUUGUAUAGUUUAAAACUAAAGUGAAUUUGAUGUCUUGAGUUUUAAUCUUUCAUGAGAUGGAUAUGCAUUUUCGAUAACACAAAGGGAUUAUAUAUUAUAUAUUUUAUAGUUCCCUCUAAUUGUAUUUUUUUGUUUUUCAUUACUGUUCGAAUAAGAAAUUUUGAGACCAAUCACAAGUUGCCACAUCAUUUAUUAAGUUAAUGAUGAAAAGUACAAAUAAUUAAAUUUGGGACUAAUUAAAAUUGACAUAUGCUCCAAAUUAAAGAGUUAAAAAUAAAUAAAAUGGUCAUUCUAAUAAUGCCACAUGUUUUCAUAUUAAUAGUUGGAUUAAGUUAAUCAUUUUAGUUCAAUUAAAUAUUAUUUACUUGGACUAAGUUCAAUUAAGCCCAAAAAAUAAGCUUAAUUGAGCCCAAAGACUAAAUAUAACCUAAGUCCAUAUGGUUGAGCCCAUGGGUCUGGUCCAUUAGACCAACCAGGUUCAAACCCAUAAAGCCCACCAAUGAACUCUAUAAAUAGAGGAAUUCUCCUCAUUUGUAGGGGUUGGAAAAUUUUGACUCUAGAAGAUCCAUAGAGAAUUCUUCAAAGAGCUAGGAGACUCCCUAACUCCUGAAGUCGACCAUCCUCGAAGAUUGAGAUUGAAGCUUCUUUAAAGAUACAAGCUUUCUUCCAAGGCUUCAACUUCAAGAACAUCACGUGCUUCGCUUCCUCCAAAUCAAGCUGAAGCAUCCAGUUGAGAGAGAAUCAGAGGAUCAAAUUCUAGAGAUUGAACCGCAUCACAUCAAAUCAACAAAAAUACAACAUCAACUCCAACUUCAAGUCCACGAAUUAAAUUUCUCCGGAAAUCUCGUGCGAACAAAUUGGCACGCCCGGUGGGACCAUCUCUACCUCUCAUCUCUCUCUCAUCAUCUAGAUCUACAAGCAAAUCAAUGGCAUCAAAGAAAGCUGCAUCCAAAUCUUCAGCUGCAAGCGACACCUACACGGGACCUAUCACCCGUAGUCGUUCCAAGGGGAUCAUCCAAGGGCAAGAUCAAGGUUCCGCCAUCGCGCAGAGCAUCAUGAAGCAAUUGAUGGAAUCUCCUAGAGCUGGAAUUGUCAUCAAGGAAAAUCCUCUAUAUAAUGAUUAUGAUUCUGCAUCUAGCAGGUCACUGAAAGAAGCACACCCAGAUGUGAUGUCCGUCAUGAUGGCUGAUGUAGCAGUCGAGACUGCCAUGGCGGAGAUGGAGAGAAAAAUUAAUCUCCUGAUGAAGGUUGUUGAUGAACGAGACCACGAAAUUGCAGCUUUAAAGGAGCAGAUGCAGACUCGUGAAACUGCUGAAUCGAGUCAAAUGUGUUAAUGCGUCCGUGUAAAGUUGAUGACAAAGGGAAGAACGUCGUACAAGAAAAUCAGCCACAACAACAAUCAACUUCUGUGGCUUCUCUCUCGUUCAACAAUUACAAGAUAUGAUCACAAACUCCAUCAGAGCACAAUAUGGAGGCCCAUCUCAGACUUCUUUCAUGUACUCUAAACCAUACACCAAAAGAAUCGACAACUUGAGAAUGCCGCUUGGAUAUCAGCCUCCAAAAUUCCAGCAGUUUGACGGAAAGGGCAAUCCAAAACAGCACGUUGCUCACUUCGUCGAAACAUGUGAGAAUGCAGGAUCAAGAGGAGAUCAACUAGUCAGACAAUUUGUUCGAAGCUUGAAAGGAAAUGCUUUUGAAUGGUAUACUGAUCUGGAGCCAGAAAGCAUUGAGAGUUGGGAACAACUAGAAAAGGAGUUUCUCAAUCGCUUCUACAGCACCAGGCGUACUGUAAGCAUGAUGGAGCUUACAAAUACGAAACAAAGAAAGGGAGAACCAGUCAUCGACUACAUCAAUAGAUGGAGAGCUCUAAGUCUUGACUGUAAAGAUCGGCUCACCGAACUGUCGGCUGUAGAAAUGUGCACCCAAGGCAUGCACUGGGGACUCCUCUACAUUUUGCAGGGAAUAAAGCCCCGCACAUUUGAAGAACUGGCAACUCGAGCUCAUGAUAUGGAGUUGAGCAUCGCCAGUAGAGGAACUAAAGAUUUUCUUGUUCCUGAAGUAAAGAAAGAUAAGAAAGAGAUGAAAGGUGCUGAAAAGAUAGUGAAAAGCACGCGAAAGAAUCUAUGGUCGUAAACACAACCCCGCUGAAAUUCUCCAAAGGAAAGGAAGCGAGGGUUGAAAAGAAGGAUGAUGGAAGCGAAAGGCGACGUCUGACUUUAAAAGAAAGGCAGGAAAAAGUUUACCCAUUUCCUGAUUCAGAUAUCGCUGACAUGCUAGAGCAACUACUAGAGAAGCAGCUGAUCCAGCUGCCAGAAUGUAAACGACCUGAGCAAGCAGGAAAGGUAGAUGAUCCCAAUUACUGCAAGUAUCAUCGGGUCAUCAGUCAUCCAGUAGAGAAAUGCUUCGUGCUGAAGGAGCUAAUUCUAAGGUUGGCUCGUGAGAAAAGGAUUGAGCUAGAUUUGGAGGAAGUAGCUCAAACAAACCACGCUGAAGUGACGAUAAUGUCUGAGGCUUCUUCGUCGAGAUUGAUUUUUGAGCAAAGGAAAAGCUUGGUCCAGUUCGGGACCUUUGAGCCUAUAGUUGUCCAAUUCUUUCAGGAAAUCUCAUACGAGGAUCCUCAAGGAGAGAAAAGACCAAUCGAAGAAGACGAUGAAGGGUGGAUAGUGGUGACCCACCGAAAGAAAAGACAGUCGAUCCCGACCCAAAGAGAGUCUCGCUCUUACCAAAACUAUAGAAGAGGAAAUAAGACUCAAAAGAAUAAGAAAAAGAAGAAGACUCAUAAGCUUAAGCUCGUACAUAAUGAAGACAUGAAUUUCUCUCGACCUCAACGCUUAGUGACCUUGGCAGACUUCCUUCCAAAAAGCUUCCUUUGUGAUCAUCAGGAUGAAGACCCAGAAGUCGUUGCGUGUCAUGCUAUCAACACAACGGAGGAAGAAAUAAUCCCUCCAAGAUCACUAGAAGGAGAGGGAGUAUCAAAAGACCUUUCAAGGUUUAAUGUAGAGGAUCUAUUAUCACUUCCUCAAGAGACCAAAACCAUCCUUAUUGAUGCAUUGCUAAAUUCAAGAGCAUCAAGUUCGAGUACUCCGACUAUGACAUAUGAGAGUGGUUCUUAUUGUAUGUCUAUAGACUUCUCAGAUGAGGAUUUGUUGUUGGGAUCUAAACUUCAUAAUAGACCUUUGUAUGUUUCUGGAUACGUUCGAGAACAGAGAGUCGAUCGAAUCCUCAUUGAUAAUGGCUCAGCUGUCAACAUAAUGCCAAAGUCGACUAUGUGGCAAUUAGGCAUCUUGAUGGACGAGCUCUCAAAUAGCAAGCUAGUAAUUCAAGGUUUUAACCAAGGUAGCCAAAGAGCAAUAGGCAUGAUACGGUUAGAACUCAUAAUUGGCGACCUAAAGGCCAGUGCAUUGUUUCAUGUCAUAGACUCAAGGACUACUUACAAGUUGUUACUAGGGCGUCCUUGGAUUCAUGGAAACGGAGUAGUAACUUCAACACUGCAUCAGUGCUUCAAAUUUUAUCAGGACGGUGUAAAGAAGGUUGAAGCCGACUCUAAUCCAUUCUCAGAAGCUGAGUCUCACUUCGCAGAUGCAAAGUUUUAUUCAAAGAAUAAUAAUAUUUUAGAAGUUUUGCCUGCAGAAACCCCUCUUACAAAAGGAGAAGAUAAUUCACAACUGAAAUCACUCGCAACCACAGAACCACAUGAAAGUGCGAGAACCUUUAACUCUGGAAAGGGUGAAGCAUACACUAGCAGCACAAAGGGUAUGAUCUUGAAGGAUGAAAAUGCUGCAAACACACCAGUUUUGCGUUAUGUCCCUCUGUCAAGGCGCAAGAAAGGCGAAUCACCAUUCAUGGAGUCUCCAAAAGGUUUGAAAGUUGGUGACAUCGAAAUCAUAAAAGAAAGCUUCACUACACCACUAACUAAGAUAGCGAAGCAGGAGGUAAAGGUAGAUCUGGUGGAAGCAAACUUGCCCCAAAGGCGAACGAAAGACGGAUUCGACCCCAAGGCUUACAAAUUGAUGGCGAAAGCAGGUUAUGACUUCACAGCUCACACCGAGUUUAAAAGCUUGGAAAUUCAUGACCGACCUGAGCUCUCCUCAACUCAAAAGAAGCUUCUACGGGAAGGACAUUCUAUACCCGUGUCGAGAAAAGGACUCGGAUACAAGUCGCCAGAACCGAUCCGUAUAACUAAAAAGGGGAAGGAAAAAGUGGUUGACAUCAAUCAUAUAACUAUAGAGGAGGAUGACAAUACUGACGUAAAAGAAGGUGAUAAUCAGAGAAUCUCAGUAUUUGAUCGAAUUAGACCAUCUGUUGCACGUCCCGUAGUAUUUGAAAGGCUAAGCAUGACAGAGGCAGAAAGAGAAAGGCUCCAGUCAGUACCAAACCUUGAGAGACAUUCGGUCUUUCGAAGGCUAACUACGACUCCCAUAAAGGAAGAAAGCACAUGCCAUGCCUUGACAACUACAAGACCAUCAGCCUUUGAAAGGGUAUGUGUCUAAAAAGAAAAAUGUACAAGCACCCCGUGCUCCGAUUUUUAAUCAUCUCGGGGAUAAAGGAUCACACGACAACAUUGAUUCCAACAUAGAUACAAAGAAGAAGGAACCAAUGUCUCGUGUGAAAGUUUGGCGUCGAAUUAAGCAUACAGAUGUCGAUAAUUAUCGUAGUAAGAAGUUUCCUUGCGAGACAAAGGAAAAUGGAGAAAUUCAUAGCAACGUUCCUUCUCGCAUGAAAAGAAAAACUUUUGUUACUCUCAAUACAAGUCAAGGUUCGUUAAAGGUAAAAAGACAUGACAAACCACUAAUAUUGUACAUUGCUGCACAAGAAAGGUCCUUAGGAGCAUUACUGGCACAAGAAGAGGUAAAGGGAAAGGAGCGUUCUCUCUACUAUCUAAUCAGAACAUUAAUUGGGGCUGAAGUUAACUAUUCUCCUAUCGAAAAGAUGUGUCUUGCACUUUUCUUUGCCAUUGAUAAGUUGAGGCAUUACAUGCAGGCCUUCACGGUUCAUCUAGUGGCAAAAGCAGACCCUAUAAAGUAUGUUCUAUCCAGGCCAAUCAUCUCUGGACGCUUAGCCAAAUGGGCGGUUCUACUCCAACAAUAUGACAUUGUCUAUAUUCCCCAAAAGGCGAUAAAAGGACAAGCGCUAGCAGACUUUUUAGUAGACCACCCAAUUCCUUCGGAUUGGAAGUUAUGUGAUGACCUACCAGACGAUGAGGUUUUCUUCACAGAGUUAUGGAACCUUGGACUAUGUACUUCGAUGGUGCAGCUCGAAGAAGUGGUGCGGGGGCAGGCAUUGUCCUCAUUUCUCUUGAGAAGCAUAUGUUGCCUUAUAGCUUUGCACUUUCUGAAUUGUGUUCAAACAAUGUGGCUGAAUAUCAGGCUUUGAUAAUUGGCCUUCAAAUAGCAUUAGAAAUCGGAGUGUCAUUCAUAGAGGUCUAUGGUGAUUCAAAAUUGAUGAUCAAUCAACUCUCGCUUCAAUAUGACGUGAAACAUGAAGACUUGAAGCCAUAUUUUGCUUAUGCUCGACAAUUGAUGGAAAAGUUUGAUAAUGUGAUGUUAGAACAUGUCCCUAGAGUAGAAAAUAAGAGAGCGGAUGCAUUGGCAAAUUUAGCCACGACCUUGACCAUGCCAGAUGAUGUAACUCUGAACAUACCACUUUGUCAACGAUGGAUUAUACCCCCAGUUAGGCCUGAAUGUCAGGAAGUGAAUAUGGCAACAUCCUAUUUGAUUGAUGAAGAAGAUUGGCGUCAACCCAUCAUAGAGUAUCUUGAACAUGGAAAGCUUCUAAAGGAUUCUCGUCAUAAAAUUGAGAUACGAAGAAGGGCAGCACACUUCAUUUAUUACAAGGGAACUUUAUAUCGUCGUUCUCUUGAAGGGCUCUUCCUUCGAUGUCUCGAAAAGGAAGAUUCGGUAAAAGCUCUAAAGGAAGUACAUGCAGGUGUUUGUGGAGCACAUCAAUCGGGAUCAAAGCUUCAAUUCCAGCUAAGAAGAAUGGGCUACUACUGGCCUAAGAUGAUCCAAGAUUCAAUAGACUAUGUGAAGAAGUGUGAGCCUUGUCAAUACCAUGCAAACUUCAUACACCAACCUUCAGAACCUCUUCAUCCAACUGUGGCUUCUUGGCCUUUUGAGGCUUGGGGACUCGAUCUGGUUGGCCCCAUUACACCAAAAUCAUCAGCAGGACAUUCUUAUAUCCUAGCAGCAACAGACUAUUUUUCAAGUGGGCUGAGGCCAUUUCCUUGAGAGAAGCCAAGAAGGAGAACGUGGCAUACUUUAUUCGAACACACAUCAUCUAUCGAUACGGUGUUCCACAUCGAAUCGUGACGGAUAAUGGAAAGCAAUUCUCCAAUAGUAUGAUGGACAAGUUAUGUGAAAAAUUCAAAUUCAAGCAAUAUAAGUCAUCCAUGUACAACGCAGCUGCGAAUGGACUAGCAGAAGCAUUCAACAAAACAUUGUGUAAUCUUUUAAAGAAAAUUGUCUCCAAGUCAAAGAGGAAUUGACAAGAAAAGAUCGGCGAGGCAUUAUGGGCUUAUCGGACGACUCAUCGCACCCCUACAGGGGUUACACCAUAUUCGCUUGUUUACGGUGUGGAGGCUGUCCUUCCUCUCGAAAGGGAAAUUCCGUCACUAAGAAUGGCAGUACAAGAGGGAUUGACUACCGAAGAUAAUGUGAAGUUACGUCUUCAAGAAUUAGAAGCACUUGACGAAAAGCGAUUAGAGGCUCAGCAAGCAUUGGAAUGUUAUCAAGCGAGAAUGUCCAAAGCUUUUGAUAAACACGUUAAACCUCGCUCCUUUCAAGUCGGUGAUCUAGUACUUGCCGUAAGGAGACCGAUCAUCACAACAAGGCAUACAGGAAAUAAGUUCACACCUAAAUGGGAUGGACCCUACAUUGUUAAAGAAGUUUAUACAAAUGGCGCAUACAAGAUCGUUGAUCAAGACGGACUACGAAUUGGCCCAAUCAAUGGUAAAUUUCUUAAAAAAAUUUAUGCUUAAUUUUGUUAGGUAAAAAAAAAAAAAAAAAGUUGAACUACGUUAUGACUUGAUCCCUAUAUUAUAAAUGGUACGUAGGCAGCUUAAGGAAAACCUUAAGCCCAGUCCAGCAAAAAAAGGUUGAACUACGUUACGACUUGAUCCCUAUAUUAUAAAGGGUACGUAGGCAGCUUGAAGGAAACUUUAAGUUCAGUCCAAAAAAAAAAAAGAGGGAAGAAAGACAAAUUACAUUUAAUAGAAAAUAUGAUGAGGAGUGGAACAAUGAAAGAAUAAUUUUUAUUAUUAUGAACUUCUAGCAAAAAAAAAAAAAAUUAAAAAGGCAUAAGUAGAUAAAUAAGAGAAAGCAGAGAAUCAUGGAGUCCAUUUAAAGUUCUUCAGCUCCUCUAGUGUGCUUUCUAAAGAUUCACGAAGUGUUGAUAGCAUUUUAGCAUCAAUAUCUCCAACGAUCGGGGCACAUUCGAGUUUGUCAAUUUCCUCACAAGUCUUCGAAAUCUCAUGUUGCUUCUGCUUCAGCUCCAGGUCGUUCUUAAAAAUUAUUCCAGAAAGUUUAGCAGACUCAGCCCGCACCAUCUUUAGUUUUGCCUCUAGUUUAGCCUCCUUGGCGGACAGUCGUGUAAGACGACGUUUAGCAGUGUUGGUCUCUGCCAAUAUACGAUUCUCAUCAACUCGCAGAGUCUUCACAAAACCUUUUGCCUCCGUUAGCUGAACAUCCUUAGUUGAUUGGAGUAGAAAUGAGGAAUGUAUUUGAUUAUGGUUCUCGACACCUUGGAAGUAACCAUUCACAAGCUCCCUCAAAACAAUAAGGUUGUCGCUGCCGCUAGUCGCAAUCGCAUCAAAGAUCUUAUGCAUUUCUGGUUCAAGACUACUCAGUCGUUCAAAAGGGGUACGAAUGAUCUUCUGUCGUAGGUUUUCCCAUAAGGUUAUGGCAGCCUGUCGUCGGAGGUCAGAAAUUAAGCUGUCAGCACAAAAAUGAGAAAUCUCAGAAACUGUAAUAGGCUCCGUGCCUUCCACUUUUUGAGGAGGUCCCUUGAUCACAGGAGGACAAGCAGACACAAUAUUUGCGCCUAUAGGUUCCUUAGAGUUUCCAUUAUAAGAAAGUACAAUGUUACAGUCUUCUAGAUUCGGCAUCGACUCUAGGGUAUCUUCGAUGUGUAGGUCGUGAUCACCUAAAGAAGACUGCAAAAUAAUAUUAACAACAAGAAAUAAGAGGAGUAAAGGAGAGAAAAUACAAUAAAUAAAAAAAUAAAAAAGGGAGACGAAAAGAAACCAUGGGGGAAGGGACAUCGAAGAAUUGUGCAGCAUCAGGGACCCGAAUAGGAGACUCUUCAUCAUCGAUCGACUGUUUGUUGGGCUUCUUGGGUCUCUUCCAAUGGUGAUCAUCAUUGUUGCUUUGACUGUCCUCAAUACGUUUAGAAGGAUGCUUGGUAGCUAUCAAUAAGCGGUUGUCCUUACCCACAUUGUCAAUACCACCUUUAAUAAGAUGUUUAAAUCGUGUAGAAAGAGACAAAUUAUCCACCAAGCGUUUUGUCCCUCCCUCAAUUUUCUCCACAAGUCGUUCAUCAGUUUCAUCGAGCAUAUCUUCUGAUUUCCACUACCAAAAUUAUGUUCAAUCUUUUUUGUGGUUUUGGAUUUGAUGUGAGGGGGAGUAGGACGAUCUAUCAAAUGUUGUACUCCUUCUUGGAGGUAAUCACCGUGUUUUGCAAGCCACCAGACUUUAUAAUGAGAGGUAACAUGUGUGUCUGGAUUAGGGGCAGACACAGGAAGAUAUACUUGGGAAAGUGUAUUCUCGCGAAUACAAAUCAUCCAACAAUAUCGUACGUUAAAAAAAUUGGCUUCGGGAAUUUCUUCACCUAAGUCAUAUGGCACGUCUUGAUAAAAUCCAAAUUGUCGGCUAAAGCGACAAGGACUAUAAGGCUCAAUAACUGUGGAGGAUCCACAUUGCGAGGAUAGAAAACAAGAGCGAAUGCUUAUGAAAAAUGAAGCAUUCCAACUAUUUAACUCUCCAUCAUCCGUUAAGAGUUCGUCCUUAUUCUUUGUUGGAAGACACACAUGCCAUGACACAUACUUUCCCUUGUGGAUAUGUGUUCGAGCCUCAAGAUUAGUAUAAUAUUUGGCCCCACCUUCACCAGAAAAUUCAACCAUGCAAGGACCCCUAAGACUCCUAGGGGCUUUAUAAUGAGUGUUGAAGUAAAGAGCAAGCCACCCAUGGACAUAGUGAAGAGGAAAACAGGCAUUUGAAUAACCAAGUGAUGAAGUAGAAUCAUGAACUUGGCGUAGGCCACUAUAAAUAUUAGCUAAAACAGGGACGGCAAGGCUAAAUGUGUAGCCUUCCGCCAUGAGGCUAGCAACCUUAAAAACCUCCGGACGAAGGGAAAGUUGCUUAUCAGGGAACACAAACACACAUAGCCAACAAGAGAGAAAUGCCGCUAGAUAGGUUUUGUCCCUAUGAUCAUCAGUGACGCUUAAGUCAAGGAACACUUUGAGUUCAGCUUUAGACCAGUCAGGACGUCUGAUGGGAAUUCCAUCUGGAUUAUGAGUUGAGUGAGGGCGAGAAGUCUUUUUAGGCUUUCGAGGAGGCGGUUUCGAAUACUUUACCUCAGAUCGUGUAACCCAAAAAGAGAUCCAUUCACUUACAGUGAUUUGAGAGUGAUCCAUGCGUUGAGAAACAAUGCGGUAAUAGGCUGCAAAUAAAUGCUCACAACUUCUUGGACAUACAUCAGGUGAUCCUAUUAAGUCUUGGUGGCAAGGAAUGCUUUCUUCAUAAAAUCUACCUUUAAUCGGGAGUCCUCCUAGUAUCCAUAAGUCCCAUAAGGAGAUGGACAUCUCACCAGCUGAGGUGUGAAGAGUGUUUGUUGAAGGACACCAUGCCUCGCAGAAAGCCCGAUCAAUGUCACUGUUGCGAUCAUAUGUAUAUAGGGAAGCCAUCACAACAAUUAAAUAGGGAGGCUCGCUUGAGUACUGCCGUAUUUCUAGCAACAACGAGCUCUAACCACUCCCAAUAAUGAGGAAGAUAGUAAAAUUCUCCAUGUACCUUGAGCACAUUUCCCCAACGAAUUUUUGGGUCGUUUAUAAUUCGACGACCCAACGUUGAUUCUGGAUCCUCAUUUGGAGGCUUGUUGUGAAUCGAAGACUCCAGAAACCAAGAUUUUAAAGAUGAAUUGGGAUUUACAAACCGUUCCUUGGACCAUUUAGGCAAAAAGAUAAAAUUGUCCUCGGGUAUUUGGGAGUCCAUAAUAUUCUCAUAUGUCCCCUCUCUCACAGGAAGAAUGAUCCCUUCCUCUAAAGAUUGAUCUACGUCUUUCAGGAUAAUUAAACACCUUUUGGUCGAGUCAAAAUACUCAGUGAAGUGCACCAUGAUGAAAAGUAGAGUUCCUGCAAAAUAAUAAUAAUAAGAAGAAGAAUAAGAAAUAGAAAAAAAACCAAAACAAAAAAAAAAAAAAAAAAAAAAAAAAAAAAAGAAAGAAAUAAGAAAGAAAUAAGAAAAAAAAAAAGAGGGGGGGGGAAGAAAAAGCAAAUGAAGAUUGAAGCCCGACGAUGACAGAAUCGAUCUCUCCUACUAGGGCGAUAGAUCUGACGGCAAAAGCCCGAUCGUUCCUAGAAGAAGCUCAACAAAGUCAUUUCUGCAAACGAAGAUCGAAGCCCGACGAUGACAGAGUCGAUCUCUCCUACUAGGGCGAUAGAUCUGACGGCAAAAGCCCGAUCGUCCCUAGAAGAAGCUCAACAAAGUCAUUUCUGCAAACGAAGAUUGAAGCCCGACGAUGACAGAGUCGAUCUCUCCUACUAGGGCGAUAGAUCUGACGGCAAAAGCCCGAUCGUCCCUAGAAGAAGCUCAACAAAGUCAUUUCUGCAAACGAAGAUCGAAGCCCGACGAUGACAGAGUCGAUCUCUCCUACUAGGGCGAUAGAUCUGACGGCAAAAGCCCGAUCGUUCCUAGAAGAAGCUCAACAAAGUCAUUUCUGCAAACGAAGAUCGAAGCCCGACGAUGACAGAGUCGAUCUCUCCUACUAGGGCGAUAGAUCUGACGGAAAAAGCCCGAUCGUCCCUAGAAGAAGCUCAACAAAGUCAUUUCUGCAAACGAAGAUCGAAGCCCGACGAUGACAGAGUCGAUCUCUCCUACUAGGGCGAUAGAUCUGACGGCAAAAGCCCGAUCGUCCCUAGAAGAAGCUCAACAAAGUCAUUUCUGCAAACGUUUUGUUGGAUAUUUAUAUAAAGAAAAGAUAAUCCAAUUAUCUUAUUUUAUUUUAAAUUAUUAUUAUUUUUUUGUUGGAUAAAUCUCAAGUUUAACUUUUAUUGAGAUAUUUAAAAUAUUUAAAAAUCUCAACAUUUAAAAAUAUAUAUAUAUAGAUAAAUAUUCUCAAUUUCAAAAUUCAAGUUAAAUUAACUUGCAUAUAUGACCUCCUUUUUAUCAUGAAUUUAAAUCGGAGCCAUAAAUCCAACUUUACCUAAGAUUGAGGACCUGAUUUUUUAUCUCAAAUUAAAAUUGGUCAUUCCAAAUUCUUAUGUAUCCCCAAGAUGAAUUAAGGUAGGGUAGAAACUUUAUCCUUAUUUCAAAAUUAAAAUUUUGGUUAUAUUCCAAAUUUUACUUAAAAAAAAUCAUCAUAUUAAAUUUUUUUUAUCCUCAAAUAAAAUUAAGUUAGGAAUAAAACUUUGAAUUUUUGUAAGGUUUGGCCAUAUUCCAACCCUUUUUAAAUUUAAAUCAAACUCACGUACUAAAUUCAUAGUUUGAUUAAUUUGAUAUAUUGAAUUGAGUAAAAAAAAAAAAAGAAGCUCGUACUUUGACUUCAAAUUUAUCUUUUCCGAGAUUCAUUCACCUAUAUACGUGCAUAAAUCUCGAAAAGGGGGCAUUUGUUGAAUAAGAAAUUUUGAGAUCAAUCACAAGUUGCCACAUCAUUUAUUAAGUUAAUGAUGAAAAGUACAAAUAAUUAAAUUUGGGACUAAUUAAAAUUGACAUAUGCUCCAAAUUAAAGAGUUAAAAAUAAAUAAAAUGGUCAUUCUAAUAUGCCACAUGUUUUCAUAUUAAUAGUUGGAUUAAGUUAAUCAUUUUAGUUCAAUUAAAUAUUAUUUACUUGGACUAAGUUCAAUUAAGCCCAAAAAAUAAGCUUAAUUGAGCCCAAAGACUAAAUAUAACCUAAGUCCAUAUGGUUGAGCCCAUGGGUCUGGUCCAUUGGACCAACUAGGUUCAAACUCAUAAAGCCCACCAGUGAACUCUAUAAAUAGAGGAAUUCUCCUCAUUUGUAGGGGUUGGAAAAUUUUGACUCUAGAAGAUCCAUAGAGAAUUCUUCAAAGAGCUAGAAGACUCCCUAACUCCUGAAGUCGACCAUCCUCGAAGAUUGAAGCUUCUUUAAAGAUACAAGCUUUCUUCCAAGGCUUCAACUUCAAGAACAUCACGUGCUUCGCUUCCUCCAAAUCAAGCUGAAGCAUCCAGUUGAGAGAGAAUCAGAGGAUCAAAUUCUAGAGAUUGAACCGCAUCGCAUCAAAUCAACAAAAAUACAACAUCAACUCCAAGUUCAAGUCCACGAAUUAAAUUUCUCCGGAAAUCUCGUGCGAACAAUUACCAUAAGAAGAAAACUACAUCUUCAUUUUCCAUUUUUAUGUUUGUGGUUUUACUCUCAUACUCUUGAGGUAAACAGAAAAUAUGACAUUUAAUGGGACUCCAAUUUUAUUUCAAUGUAGAGUGGAUACCAUAUUUCUAAAACUCUCCUUUUUAAGUCGAGUGUACCACAAAAUACUUCUUUAUAUUUUGGUAACUCCAUUGUUUUCUAUUUUAUUUGUCUUAUGUAAUUUGAUUUUAAUUAAUUCUUUUUAAUUUUCUUUUAAAUAAUUAAGUAUGAAAACUGACAAUGGAAAAAGAAGUUUUAAAAAAUAUAUUUUUGUUCUUUUUUAAAAAUACAAAAUCACUUACUAAACAUAUAUUACUUUUGUUUUAAUAAGCAAAAACUCAACAAAAGAAAUUUUUUUUUUAAAUAGUUACCAAAUGGAACUUUUGUUUUUUGGUUUUUGAAAACAUUAGUAAAACGUAGAUAGCAAUAGAAAUGAGUUUGGAGAUGAAAAUUAUUAUUAUAGAGGCUUUAUUUCAAAAUACAUACGUUUUUUAAUAACUAUUUGUUUUUCGUUUUAUUACUUAAAAUUUAAAUUGAGUUUAUAAACACUUAUCCCACCUCUAAAAUAUUUCUUGCUUCAAUGUUUAUUUUUUGCUGAUGUGACCAAAAACAAUGUCAAAAUUUAAAAAUAAUAAAAUAAAAUAGUUUUAAAUUUUUUCUACAAAUUUAACUUUUGUACUUAAAAAAGAUUAAAAAAAAAAAAAACAUUGUAAAAUCUUUAUAGCAAAUAUUUCGUUAUUUUUAAUUAAGCGGGGAUAGCUCAGUUGGGAGAGCGUCAGACUGAAGAUCUGAAGGUCACGUGUUCGAUCCACGUUCACCGCAUAGUUUUUAAAUAUAUAUAAUUUUCAAAUUUUUCGGCUACUUGCUACAUGAGAAGUUAGACAAUAAAAGUUAUUGUCUGUAUUUCUUUUAAUGAUUUGUGUACAAGGAAUCGAAUGUACUCUCGUGAAUUGUCUAUGAAUGAAGUUCUCUUUUUGUUUCAUUAAAGUAUGAAUUAUGUGUUUAACUCUGUGUUGUAAGAAGUUGUUCUACGUACUACGCGUUCAACAUAUCAUCUCAUAGGAGGUAUAUAUUCAUGUUGAAUUAGUAUUUGAUUAUUUUUUAGUAGCGAAACUUAUGUGCAUUCUAAGCACGAAUGAUUGUUUGGAUGCAUCGUUAGGUUGUGCAUAACCAAAUUAGUUUUGUUUUUUAAAUUAAUGUCAGUAUAAGUAAAAAUGUUAGUAGCCAACAUGAGUGCAACUCAUCUGACACCUUUAUGUACUAAGUAAGCUAAGUUAGAUGGUGGGAAAAAUAGCUUCCCUUUUUAGUAAGAGUUGCAUAAUUUUUGUUUUCUAAUUUGUUAGCAAUUUUUCAAAAGACGUUUGGUUGCUACGACUCUUAUGAAAAUAACAACUUUGUCUUUGAACUUUAGUCGGUAGUGAUUUUAGUCUAUGUAUUUUAUAUUUUGUAACAAUUUAUGUUUCAAAAUUUAGUAAGUAACAAUUAGUUCCUACACUUUGAAAUUUUUAAUAUAUAUAUAUAUUAACAACAAGAUAAGGAUUGGGAUCAAGAAAAACAUCCAAUCAUCGCGACUAGGUUGAAACAAUUGAGCACCUGCCAUACCCAAACCCACAUAAAGGAAAUUCAUUGCCACAAAAAAGAAUUCGUACUAAGAAGGAGAGGCUAGAGGAAAGUCUUCCAAGGAUAAGCAACGAUCUUGAGAUAAACUAGCUAUUACAAAUAAAAGAAAAUAGGUCUCCAACGAGUAGCAAAACAUAAAAGUCAUCAUGCAAAGUCAAACUACUCUUAAGCAAAUGGAAAGAAAUAUUACAAGUAGACCAAUCAAACCAAAGAGUACUUAAAAAACUAGCAUCCUCGUAUAUAAAAUUUAAAUGUAAGUUUUUUAUCAUUUAACGAAUUCAUCUUUAUCGUUUAUUAAAAAGAUUAUUCUCGAUCAAUUUAUAAAAAAAUCAUGUAUUAGAAAGUUUAUUAUAUUUUAAUAAUAUUAAAUUUUAAAACAAAAUUGGUACUGAUAUAAAUAUAUAUCAUAUUCAUGGUUAUUUUCAUAAAAUUGUUGCUAUUUGGCACUCCAUGAAAGUUGAAGGAAAAGUUUUGUUUGAACUGUUUUUUCUUUUUCAUUGGCACUCAAAAUGACAGUUGAGAAGUAAAAAUGAAAAUUUAGACUCACGAUAUAACAUAAUAAACAUUUUAAUUUGUUUAAAAUUAUAAAAUAUAAAUGUUUAAAAUUAUAAAAUAUUUAGAGUUGUUUUCAAAUAUAAAAAGACUCUUUAAAAUAUUUAUAAAUAUAAUAAAGUUGUACUUUCCAUCACGAAAAGAUUCAAAAUAAACAUAAAUUCAACAUCUAUUUAUGUUGUAUUAAUAGAAUGUUGUUUUGUAAAUACCUAGUCAGUUCAAAUUUUUUUAAAAAAAUUGAGUUGUAUUAAUAGAAUGUUGUUUUGGUUUUAAUUUGGCGUACAAAUUUCUUUUAAUUUUUUCAUUAAUUAUAUUCUAUUAUUAUAUAUAAACAAAUCUCCAAGUGGUAAGGAUUUUAAUUCAUACAAAAUCUUUAUUCUUUUCAAAAGAUUUUAGAAGAUUUCGUUCUUUUAGAAGUUCUGAAAGAUUUUGUUUUCCUUGAAAGUUAGGAUUUCAGAAGAUUUUAAUCCAUAUACGUGGAAGUCAAGAGUCCCAGUUGAUACUUUUUAACAUAUCAUUUUGCAUUGACGUGUUUGUUGUGUGUUGUUGAACACCUUGUUAUUAAUAUUGCCAUUCGCACGUUGAAGGUUAUUUUGAGUAGUUUCUCUCAAAGUAAGGGUGAGGUUAAAAUAUGGAUUGGGUUUGAGUUCAAAAAAUUGAUUUUUUUGGAUUGGAUUGGGUCUCAGGUCUCGGAUUGAAAAAUUCGGUUCAACCCAACCCAACACAACCCAAAUUAAUAUAAUAUAUAUAUUAUUUAAUAAAAAACAAAUUAGGUAUAUAAACUUUGAAUUUAUUAUUGUAUAAAAUUUUGAAUUAUGUAUGUUUGAAAUUUAAACGUAACAAUUUUGAACUUUUUAUAACCAUUAGAAACUAUAAACGAACAAAAACAAAAAGUAUACAAUCCUAAACCCAAUCCAACUCAACCCAUAUUUUACUGGUUGGGUUGGGUUAGAAACUAAAUUCGAAUUAUUCGGGUUGCCAACUCGAAUAACUCGAAAAUAUGGAUUGGGUUUGAGAAUGUCUCCCAACCCAAUCCAAUUUCACCCGUACUCUCAAGGGGAGCUUGGACAUUGAGAUGUAAAGGUGAAGCGUGAAUAUCAAAUGGGAGCUUAGAUCAAAUCCCUUGUUCACACAUAAGUGAUUUAGGAAGAGCCUUAAACAUUUAUCUUGUGAAAGUAGUGUAAUACACGAUAUUUAAUUCUUCAUAAGUUAUGUACUAGUUAUAAACCUCUAGAAUCUGAGUAUUUUUCAAUUUAAGUUAAGACUCCCUCAAACGUAGGUAUGAUUGCACCAAAUUGGAUUACCAACUUGAUUGUGUGAUGUUUUAUUCCUGCCGUUUAUAUGUUAUUUAAUUUGAAAAUAGCGCGCUUUGGUGCAAACAUAACUCUCUGAGUUAAUACUGUGUUUUUCAAAUGUACUUUGGUGCAUAGACGUCAUCUCAAUAAAAUUUAAAUUUUCUUUUAUUAGAGAACAAACAAGCUAUUAAUAGUUAAAUUUAUAAACAGAGAACUUCAAAAUUAAAGUAAGGGAGUUCUAUUACAAUUAAAAUCCAUUUACUAAUAUAUCUAUAUUGAUGACUGUUUAUACAUAGCAACACAGCUUGUUAAAAGUAAAAUAUAAGAUCUGAAGUUCAAAGUAUAGAAAAGUGGAAAAAGCAAGAAACCAACAGAUGCACCACAAAUAUAUAAGGAAAAUUGAAAAAAUGUCAACCUAUAGAAUGUAUCAAAAGAAGAAGGAGAAAAAGAGAUAUAUUUAACAUAUAUACUUCUGUGGUUGCAAAAAGAAAAACAUGUUGUUACCAAAUAAAAGAGAUGAAAGAUAUCAAAAUGAAACCAAGAAAACCAAAUAUUAAGAGAGAGAGAUAUAAUUGGUAAACCCAAAUGUAAAAUUAGUCAUGGGUCCAAGUAAUUAAUUCCCAUUAAUUUCAUUUCAGUAACUUAACAAACAAUAUUCAAUAUAUAUCUCCAAAAUUUUCAUUCCCAUGCAAAAGAGUGAAACAAGAUAAUGCAACUUUUACCACAUAAUUAAAAGCAAAUGGGGAAAGUAUAUGUAAUCAAUUUAUAUUCUAUUACCAUAUACGAUUCUAUUAAAACUAGUAAAAGUUGUUCUGCACCAUUAUCACCUUCAUUUUCUUAAAAUAAUGCUCAUUUUUGCUUACAAUCCAACCAAGCUACAAUUUUUGUACUAACAAAAUUUAAUAAGUUUUCUUCUACAGAAAAAAAACAUCAUAUUAUUAAUCUUAUAGUUCGUCAUGUAUUGUCCUCAAUGUCAACCUAGUUGAGAAGACUUGGUGCCCGAUCAAGUAUCUUUUCUAAGAACGUUUGACUCUUUUUCCUUUAGGACUAUUGUGAUCCAAAAAAAACGAAAAGAAAAGAAAAAACUAAUAAUUUUUUUUUUUGGUCUUUUUCAACUUUAAACUUGCUAAUUCUAUGUUUGAAGAACAAAGUUAAAAAAUGAAGGUACUUAAGGAGGAUAGCCUGUGAACUAUUACUAUAGCUAGGUUACAACACUCAAUAUCAUUAAUUAGCUACACUUAUACCUUAAGCAUAAUUAGUCUUGCAACAACAAUCCAAGAAUUGUAUUUUUCAAUGACCAAAUUAAACAAAGAUAUAUGACAAAAUUAUUGCCUAGUUAGUCUAUAUCCUCUCCUUUAUAAGAACCUCCACAUUUCAUAAUUAUUCUCACACAUCCUAAACAAAGCAUUCUCUCAAUCUCUAAAUUUCCUCAUUUUUCUACAAACAAUGGAGAACAAGGGUAUGAGCACCUCCAUAAUGAAGAUAUCACUUACAUUAUUCCUAGUAAGCAUGGCCAUUUUGGCACCAUCAGCCACGGCUCGGAUGGAGGCAGCAGCACCUAGUCCAUUAGCACUAGAAGAUCUAUCUUUCUCUAACUGCACACCAUUUAUUUUAGAGGCAACAAUGUGUGUAGUAGGCGUGAUAAAAUUCCCGGUUGCUCCUCAUCCUUCGUGUUGCAAAGCUAUUUCUGAUCUCGACGAUUGUUCUCCGGAAACUUACGAACAUAUUCCUGGCAUGGACAUUAUUAAAAAAAUUUGUAGUCUGUGAAGCACUUUCUAUCUUGACAAUCAAAAGAUUCUUCAAGCAAAUUGAACCAUUUUGAAUAAGAAAGUUAUGUUUAUGUGAUUGUGAGUUUUCUUUUUUCCUACAGUACUAUUACAGUACCAUCUAUAAAACUUAAUAAAACAUACAUCUUUAACAAGAUUUAGAGUGUACUUGAAAAUCUCUGCAUAAUCAACAACACUAAAAUCUUCAUAGCCAAUUUAGUUUUAGUACUACAUACACAAAAGAUUUAAGAAACAGAAUUAUAGUCUAUGCAUAACAAUCUAAACUUUCUUACAAGUUUCCAGAUUUCCAGAUUUUCUGUUUUCUAGCAAUAGAGAAAAAAAAGAGUCAAACCAUUUGUUUUCAGGAUUUGUAGAGCAUCAAACUGAUAGAACUAAGUCAUGCACAGCGGAAAAAGAAUCGAAUUUCUACCCUAAUUGCCACAAUUAACAUGUAACCAUAAACUAAUCAAAUUAGGGUUUUAAGAAGUAUUACCUUUGAAGCUUUCAAAAGGUUUGAUGUCUUCUUACCAAUUCUACCCGAGACCACCACUAGUACUCAACUGCUAUCCUCUAGACAAAGAACCGGGUUGUGGGACCCAAUUUUGAUGUAGAAAGUAAUGGAGAUAAAAUGAGAUUGGAAGCUUUCUUUUUUCUUUUGUUGAGAUGAUGAAAAUGAUAAAAGAGGCAAAAGUCCUUCAACAUUUGAAAACAUCUCUAUUUAUAGCCUAAUUACAUGCAAAAAUGCAUGCAAUUCAAUUGCCAAAUC
rnacentral:lncRNA from 1 species